AACGAACGCUGGCGGCAUGCCUAACACAUGCAAGUCGAACGAGACCGCUGACUUCGGUUGGCGGUUCUAGUGGCGCACGGGUGCGUAACGCGUGGGAAUCUACCCUUGGGUUCGGAAUAACAGUUAGAAAUGACUGCUAAUACCGGAUAAUGACGUAAGUCCAAAGAUUUAUCGCCCAAGGAUGAGCCCGCGUAGGAUUAGCUAGUUGGUGGGGUAAAGGCCCACCAAGGCGACGAUCCUUAGCUGGUCUGAGAGGAUGAUCAGCCACACUGGGACUGAGACACGGCCCAGACUCCUACGGGAGGCAGCAGUGGGGAAUAUUGGACAAUGGGCGAAAGCCUGAUCCAGCAAUGCCGCGUGAGUGAUGAAGGCCUUAGGGUUGUAAAGCUCUUUUACCCGGGAUGANAAUGACAGUACCGGGAGAAUAAGCUCCGGCU
rnacentral:rRNA from 1 species